UCUGUUGCAAUUUACACAAGGGUCCAAUGUAAUCUGACCUCUCCGCCCCCUGAAGUUCCGCCGAUUGAGCUCCAGGUGGAUUAUUACAGCUGUAACAAAGCCACUAUGGACGCGAUAGGACGGCGAGCGACCGGCCAGAAAGAAGCCAGCUCCGUCUUUGCUGGAGUUCGAAUCGCACAGAGAUUCGGCUUGAGGGAGACUUCGCUCGGCGUUGAUCGCGCAUACGAUCAGCACGCCUUUGGUGCGAAUGUGCGGUUACUUUAAAAGUGGAAGGCGCCGCGAUAGAUACCAAAAAGUGGGCUAAGGUGAAUCAUAAUGAGAGGAAUAGGAUAUUGUAUGGAAUGAUAUUUGCCAGGGUUGAGAAUCGACGCCACGUCGAUGGCGGCAAUGACCGCGGCAGAGGCCCUUCCAACAAUCCCAAAGGGCACCAACCCAAGCGCAAAGUAACUACAUAACUUUAAGCGUAGGCCACACCGCGAACCAAGCUAAGCUAUCUUAACUCAGCUCGCGUAGCCGGGGGCAUCUAUUCACUCCUCACUUCACACCGCGAACUAGACCGAGCCAUCUGAUAUUGAAUAUAAAGAAUAUUAAGAUAUUGAACUAAUCCAACAAUCCCGCUAAGCAGUUAAAUAUGUCACCCUUCUGCCGCCUGUCAAGUAUUUUGU